rnacentral:rRNA from 1 species
AUACAGAGGGCUCAAGCGUUAAUCAGAAUCACUGGGCUUAAAGGGUGCGUAGGCGGACUCGUCAGUGUCUUGUGAAAUCCCACGGCUCAACCGUGGAACUGCAGGGCAUACUGCGAGUCUUGAACUCGGCAGGGGCAACCGGAACUCUAGGUGGAGCGGUGAAAUGCGUAGAUAUCUAGAGGAACGCCAAAGGCGAAGGCAGGUUGCUGGGCCGAUGUUGACGCUCAGGCGCGAAAGCGUGGGGAGCGAACAGGAUUAGAAACCCUAGUAGUCC